UACAGGGGGUGCAAGCGUUGCUCGGAAUUACUGGGCGUAAAGCGAGCGCAGGCGGCCGAUUAAGUCAGAGGUGAAAGCCCGGGGCUCAACCCCGGAAAUGCCUUUGAAACUGGUAGGCUUGAAUGCAGGAGAGGGUCGCGGAAUUCUUGGUGUAGAGGUGAAAUUCGUAGAUAUCGGGAGGAACACCAGUGGCGAAGGCGGCGACCUGGGCCAAUACUGACGCUGAGGUGCGAAAGCGUGGGGAGCAAACAGG
rnacentral:rRNA from 1 species